rnacentral:rRNA from 1 species
UUAAAAAGCUCGUAGUCGGAUUUCAGUAUUAGGCCCUUCUUCCAAUACGGUUGCUAGUGGUCUUUACUUCCUUAACAGAAUCUUUCAUCUCAUUAAUUUGGGGUGUUUGGGGCCUGUUUCUUUUACUUUGAGAAAAUUAGAGUGUUCAAAGCGGGUUUUCGCCUGGAUAUUACUCUUGGAAUAAUAAUAUAGGACUUUGGUUCUUUUUUGUUGGUGACUUAGAACCGAAGUAAUGAUUGAUAGGGACAGUUGGGGUCAUUCGUACUAUGAAGCGAGAGGUGAAAUUCAUGGACCUUUGUAUGACGAACUACUGCGAAAGCAUUUGACUAGGAUGUUCCCGUUGAUCAAGAACGAAAGUUGGGGGAUCGAAGACGAUCAGAUACCGUCGUAGUCUCAACCAUAAACUAUGCCAGCUAGGGAUUGGAGGAAGAUCAUUUUACGUCUCCUUCAGCACCUUAUGAGAAAUCAAAGCAUUUGGGUUCCGGGGGGAGUAUGGUCGCAAGGCUGAAACUUAAAGGAAUUGACGGGAGGGCACCACCAGGAGUGGAGCCUGCGGCUUAAUUGAUUC